AGAGNGAUGGCUCAAUGGUUAAGAGCACUGGCUACUCUUCCAGAGGACCUGGGUUUGAUUCCCAGUACCUCCA
rfam:Neotoma lepida isolate 417 scaffold_1852, whole genome shotgun sequence.